rnacentral:rRNA from 1 species
UACGUAGGGGGCGAGCGUUGUCCGGAUUUAUUGGGCGUAAAGAGCGUGUAGGCGGCCAGGUAGGUCUGCUGUGAAAACUCGAGGCUCAACCUCGAGACGUCGGCGGAAACCAUCUGGCUAGAGUCCGGAAGAGGAGAGUGGAAUUCCUGGUGUAGCGAUGAAAUGCGCAGAUAUCAGGAAGAACACCCGUGGCGAAGGCGGCUCUCUGGGACGGUACUGACGCUGAGACGCGAAAGCGUGGGGAGCGAACAGG